AGAGUUUGAUCAUGGCUCAGGACGAACGCUGGCGGCGUGCCUAAUACAUGCAAGUCGAACGAGAAUUGCUUACACCGAGUGCUUGCACUCACCGUAAGGAAUUCGAGUGGCGGACGGGUGAGUAACACGUGGGUAACCUGCCUAUCAGAGGGGGAUAACACUUGGAAACAGGUGCUAAUACCGCAUAAUAUUGAAAAGCGCAUGCUUUUCAAUUAAAAGGCGCUUCUGGUGUCACUGAUAGAUGGACCCGCGGCGUAUUAGCUAGUUGGUGAGGUAACGGCCUACCAAGGCAAUGAUACAUAGCCGAGUUGAGAGACUGAUCGGCCACAAUGGGACUGAGACACGGCCCAUACUCCUACGGGAGGCAGCAGUAGGGAAUCUUCCACAAUGGGCGCAAGCCUGAUGGAGCAACGCCGCGUGCGUGAAGAAGGUCUUCGGAUCGUAAAGCGCUGUUGUUAGAGAAGAACACGGAUAAGAGUAAUUGUUUAUGCGUUGACGGUAUCUAACCAGAAAGUCACGGCUAACUACGUGCCAGCAGCCGCGGUAAUACGUAGGUGGCGAGCGUUGUCCGGAUUUAUUGGGCGUAAAGGGAACGCAGGCUGUUUUUUAAGUCCGAUGUGAAAGCCUUCGGCUUAACCGAAGAAGUGCAUUGGAAACUGGGAGACUUGAGUGCAGAAGAGGAGAGUGGAACUCCAUGUGUAGCGGUGAAAUGCGUAGAUAUAUGGAAGAACACCAGUGGCGAAAGCGGCUCUCUGGUCUGUAACUGACGCUGAGGUUCGAAAGCAUGGGUAGCGAACAGGAUUAGAUACCCUGGUAGUCC
rnacentral:rRNA from 1 species